GAUGAACGCUAGCGGCAGGCCUAAUACAUGCAAGCUGAACGGUAACUCUGUUAGCAAUAAUGGAGCUAGAGUAGCGUAAGGGUGCGUAACACGUAUGCAAUCUACCCACAACAGGAGGAUAGCUCUUCGAAAGAGGAAUUAAGACUCCAUAAGAUCACGGGGUGGCAUCACCGAGUGAUUAAACUAACAGGGGUUGUGGAUGAGCAUGCGUCUGAUUAGUUAGUUGGCGGGGUAACGGCCCACCAAGACGAUGAUCAGUAGGGGAACUGAGAGGUUGGUCCCCCACACUGGCACUGAGAUACGGGCCAGACUCCUACGGGAGGCAGCAGUAGGGAAUAUUGGACAAUGGGUGCAAGCCUGAUCCAGCCAUGCCGCGUGCAGGAAGAAAGCCUUCUGGGUUGUAAACUGCUUUUUUCAGGGGAUAAAAUACCGGUGCGCCGGGAAUUGCAAGUACCUGGAGAAUAAGCCGCGGCUAACUACGUGCCAGCCGCCGCGGUAAAAC
rnacentral:rRNA from 1 species